UCUGUACUGAAACAGCUCCAGCGACAAGCUCCGGUAAACUGGUGAUCAGCGCCCAUUGAACCAGGUGUGUUUGUCUUGGAUUACCGGGGGAGCUCUUGUCAGUGGAAGACUGUCGGUCAAGGAUCUACUCGGAGAAACAGUUCAUUUCUCUUCAAAAUUCAAUGGCAGAACCAACUGUGGUGCUAAGCAUGCUCUCAGGUCAGUUUGUGUCCAUCAACUUCAUCUUGAGGUUUAACUGUGGGCGCAUGUUCAUUAGUGAGUGAGUCAUCCAGGUAAACCAAGACGUGUUGGAGCAUGCUCCUCCUCCUGGGCAAGCCACAACCGAAUCUUCUCCUACCCCACUUGUAUAUCAUCUUCCAGUUUCCAGUCCCUUUUUAUAAAGAUGGACGCCUUGACAGCCGCCAACAUUGGAGCCAGAAUACCAGCGUCACUGUAAAAUGUGUUUUCAUACAUGAGCUCAUUUAUUAUAAAGUAAGUUUGAAUUUGGCGCAUUGCCAUAGA